rnacentral:tRNA from 1 species
GGGGAGUUAGGCUAACCUGGAUAGACUCGGUGGUUUGGGUCCACUGGAUGUAGGUUCAAAUCCUGCACUUCCCA